UAUUAGGUAUGGUCCCGUCCUAAACCCACUCCAAACUCCACUACUCCAGUCGACCUCUCCACUUCGUGUCUUCGUAUUCGAUUCCUUCUCCAAUCUCCAGUUCGUCGCCUCCAGUCCUCCUCCUCUAAACUCUAGCAGAGCUCGGCUAGUCGGCUUCUCCACUUCAAGUCUCAGAGAUCAAGAGUUCAAGACAUCAAUAGUUCAGUCUUCCUCCCCAAAGUGCUUCGAUUCCUUCUCCAGUUCGUCGCCUGACUCGCCUCCAGUCCUCCUCAUUUAAUUGAAUGUUGUAUUGGAUUGAUGAUUUCAUGGAUUGAAGAAUGAAGGUUGUCUCUUGGUCUGGAAUUCUGGAAAUCUGGUAUGCAGCUCUGGUUUCUCUCCGACUUCUUGGUUCUGCAAUUUCUGGGUUCUGCAGUUCUGGGUUCUGCUUCUACAGUUCUGCAAUUUCUUAGGUAGGGCUGGUGUGUUCUGUUCAUUCACUUCAUUGUGCAUUAGUAAUUAAGGUGGAUUUGGGAUUUUGGGUAGGUGGUUUUAUUCAUGAUUGAAUGGUGGAAAGAAUAAUAUAAACCAGCUAGUGUUAGAGUAGAGAAACAUAUAUACUUGAUGUCUUGAUCAGUUGAUCGAUUACUAAACAAGAAAGUAGGGACUAGGGACCAAUUAUAAUAUUAUAUAGAAUGAGAAUGAGAAAUUUCCAGCUUUCUAUUUAAGCUCAUCAUCUUUCGCAAUUCACAUAUAUAUAAACCUCCAGGGGCCAGGGCCAGCUAGUUAUAGUUUAUUUGUCUUUGUCUUUGCACCAUCAACAUGCUCGACCUAAUCACUAUUGUCAGCUUCUUUCGUUACCAACAACUCUCUUUCAUAUAAUUUAUAUUGUGGUUUUUUAUUUUUGUUAAAUUAGUUAUUAUGAAAAGUAGUUAAUUCAGAGUUAAUUUCUUAAUUUAUAGGUGUUAGAGUAAAAUGUCAAAUCAUGAGCCAAAAGCGAAGCGAUCAAAAUUCAUUGACUCAUGGUUUAAAAGAACAAAUGUUGAGUCUUCAAGUUCAAAUGUGGUUUCUAAACCUUCCAUAUCCUCUCCAAAUUUUGAUGUUGAACCCCAACCUUCCAUUCCUGAACCACAAAAUAAUAUCAACGCUCUUGAACGUGAUCCUGAAUUACGUUGUGCCAUAUGGAAAUUAUCUCGCACGUUGUGCCAUAUGAACGUUGAUCCUGGAUUUUGUUUUUUAUUUUUGUACAGAUAUGCAUUUGAGGGGUAAGGCUCACUACGUCCCCCCCUGACUAGAUGUACAUUUUUUUUUAAUUUAUAAAAUUCUCUC